UUGUGCCUGUGUGCGAGUGAGCGCUGUAUGUGUGCAAGCAUUGUGGGUUGUAGAAGGGAUCAAAAGUGGGAUUUGUGGCAUGUUCUCUGCAGGAAACCAGAGCUGCUCCAGUUCAAAGCCACAUGCACCAACGUGACAUAUAAGCCAUUAAAAUACCGUCCCGACGUUUUAUUUCUAUUUCAUCAUGCAUUUCCCAACUAUUUUCAGAAAGCAAGAAAAGAAGAAACGAAGGGGGAACUUUCCGACCAAGCACCCAAGAGGACUUCUGGUUUGAUCCACCCGCUGCCCACCGACCUAAUUCUCUCCCCGCCCCAGCCUCUACUCCCAUCUCCUUGGUUUUUCCCUCUGUUAUGAUUAGAUUCUCUUAUUUGUUGUCAGUCCGGGCUUGGUAGAACAGAAAUGAAGGGAUCUCGCUUUCAACAGGUGGAGUGGGGAACCAAAUCAGAAAAUAAAGUACAGCAUUCACCUUGAAAUGAGAAAAAGAAAAGGAUUUUACAGAAACCUUCUGGAAUAUUCAAAUGUCUAUCUCGUUGCUCUCAAGGUAAUCUAGACAGAGGCAGCUGAAAAGCUCUGCAUCUUAUGCCUUAGACAUCAAAGCAGGCUCUCGCAAUGAAAGCAUUUCUUCGCAACGGUGAAUCUUCAUGAUUGACCCAAGUACAGUUUAUGUCUCCAUCCAUCCAUCUCCUUUGAACCUGACUUUCAUGAACAUUGGGAUUCACAGCAGGAAAAGUUACCCCAAAAUGAAGCACCUCACCUCCUUCGGCUGAAAGACAACAGAGACAAUAUACAAACAUCAUUUGCUUAAUGUAGGAAACAGGUUUGCCACUUUGGGGGUGCCAGUGCAUUCCAGAUAUUUGUAAGUCUCACAUCUUUAUCAAGUAUCCACCUGUUUUUCCAUUUGUAAACUUGUUUUUCAGAGGAAAGUGGUAAUACCCAUUUUCACAAUUUUCAAGCAGAAGAAAAACCAAAUUCUGGGCAUCAACCCAAAUUCAUUGUAUUAAAAUAAAACAGUCAAAGACUAACUGA